rnacentral:tRNA from 1 species
GGCGCCAUAGCCAAGUGGUAAGUCAGAGGUCUGCAAAACCUUUUUUCCCCAGUUCAAAUCUGGGUGGCGCCUCCA